ACAGAAGAGCAAAACUUAUCUUCAUGCCAAGACUUCUGCGGUCGGGACGCUGAUUCAAAACGUAUUUGUCCCGAAUUUGAUUUGGGAAUGGAAUGGUCACCAGCUGGUCCAAUACGUGGAAAAAACUGCACCCAGGUUAUUGAGCCGCGUGAUUCAGAUGGCUGGCUGGACAAUUAUAUUUGCUUUAACAAAGACUACGGAGUCCGUUGGUCACCUGCUGGUACAAUUGCAGGAAUGAUUUGCGAAAGAAUAAUAGAAGUAGCUGAACCAAUCGAUAAUACAUGGCAUGACAACUUUCUUUGCGUUCCACAUGAUUCAGCGUUUCAAUUCAAAUGGUCACCGAAUGGCGUUAUAGCUGAUUUAUGUUGUAUACAAGUGUAUGAACCACUCGAUAUCCAUACGUGGCAUGACAACUAUCUUUGCGUUUCGCGUUUGCGGAUUUUUUAGUUUUCAGCUCUUAGCAAAUAGUACCGCAUGCGAAAAUGC